CCGGGGCUUCUUCUGCGGGUACCGUCAUUAUCUUCCCCGCUGAAAGGGGUUUACAACCCUAAGGCCUUCUUCACCCACGCGGCAUGGCUGGAUCAGGCUUGCGCCCAUUGUCCAAUAUUCCCCA
rnacentral:rRNA from 1 species